GUUUUAUAUUCAAUAAAUGAUUCUAAAUUGCAAAUUUAGAGGUGGUGAAAACCUAAAACCUA
rnacentral:tRNA from 1 species